rnacentral:rRNA from 1 species
UGACGCCUGCGGCAGCCUAACACAUGCAAGUCGAGCGGAAACGAGUUAUCUGAACCUUCGGGGGACGAUAACGGCGUCGAGCGGCGGACGGGUGAGUAAUGCCUAGGAAAUUGCCCUGAUGUGGGGGAUAACCAUUGGAAACGAUGGCUAAUACCGCAUAAUGCCUACGGGUCAAAGAGGGGGACCUUCGGGCCUCUCGCGUCAGGAUAUGCCUAGGUGGGAUUAGCUAGUUGGUGAGGUAAUGGCUCACCAAGGCGACGAUCCCUAGCUGGUCUGAGAGGAUGAUCAGCCACACUGGAACUGAGACACGGUCCAGACUCCUACGGGAGGCAGCAGUGGGGAAUAUUGCACAAUGGGCGCAAGCCUGAUGCAGCCAUGCCGCGUGUGUGAAGAAGGCCUUCGGGUUGUAAAGCACUUUCAGUCGUGAGGAAGGUGGUGUAGUUAAUAGCUGCAUUAUUUGACGUUAGCGACAGAAGAAGCACCGGCUAACUCCGUGCCAGCAGCCGCGGUAAUACGGAGGGUGCGAGCGUUAAUCGGAAUUACUGGGCGUAAAGCGCAUGCAGGUGGUUUGUUAAGUCAGAUGUGAAAGCCCGGGGCUCAACCUCGGAAUAGCAUUUGAAACUGGCAGACUAGAGUACUGUAGAGGGGGGUAGAAUUUCAGGUGUAGCGGUGAAAUGCGUAGAGAUCUGAAGGAAUACCGGUGGCGAAGGCGGCCCCCUGGACAGAUACUGACACUCAGAUGCGAAAGCGUGGGGAGCAAACAGGAUUAGAUACCCUGGUAGUCCACGCCGUAAACGAUGUCUACUUGGAGGUUGUGGCCUUGAGCCGUGGCUUUCGGAGCUAACGCGUUAAGUAGACCGCCUGGGGAGUACGGUCGCAAGAUUAAAACUCAAAUGAAUUGACGGGGGCCCGCACAAGCGGUGGAGCAUGUGGUUUAAUUCGAUGCAACGCGAAGAACCUUACCUACUCUUGACAUCCAGAGAACUUUCCAGAGAUGGAUUGGUGCCUUCGGGAACUCUGAGACAGGUGCUGCAUGGCUGUCGUCAGCUCGUGUUGUGAAAUGUUGGGUUAAGUCCCGCAACGAGCGCAACCCUUAUCCUUGUUUGCCAG